rnacentral:rRNA from 1 species
CCUACGGGCGACAGCAGUAGGGAAUAUUGCUCAAUGGGGGAAACCCUGAAGCAGCAACGCCGCGUGGAGGAUGAAGGUUUUCGGAUUGUAAACUCCUUUUGUUAGAGAAGAUAAUGACGGUAUCUAACGAAUAAGCACCGGCUAACUCCGUGCCAGCAGCCGCGGUAAUACGGAGGGUGCAAGCGUUACUCGGAAUCACUGGGCGUAAAGAGCGCGUAGGCGGGAUAGCAAGUCAGAUGUGAAAUCCUAUGGCUUAACCAUAGAACUGCAUUUGAAACUGUUAUUCUAGAGUAUGGGAGAGGUAGGUGGAAUUCUUGGUGUAGGGGUAAAAUCCGUAGAGAUCAAGAGGAAUACUCAUUGCGAAGGCGACCUGCUGGAACAUUACUGACGCUGAUGCACGAAAGCGUGGGGAGCAAACAGGAUUAGAUACCCGUGUAGUC